rnacentral:tRNA from 1 species
GAUCCACUGGUGUAAUGGUAGCAUAUCUGGCUUUGAACCAGCUGGUUGAGGUUCAAAUCCUGAUGGAUCA